rnacentral:rRNA from 1 species
GCGCGAAAACUUUACAAUGCGAGCAAUCGUGAUAAGGGAACCCCGAGUGCCUGUAUACGCAGGCUGUUCAGAUGUCUAAACCACAUCUGGAGAAAGGGCCGGGCAAGACCGGUGCCAGCCGCCGCGGUAAUACCGGCGGCUCGAGUGGUGGCCACUAUUACUGGGCUUAAAGCGUCCGUAGCUGGGUUGUUAAGUCUCCUGGGAAAUCUGCCGGCUUAACCGUCAGGCGUUCAGGAGAUACUGGCAAUCUCGGGACCGGGGGAGGUGAGAGGUACUCCGGGGGUAGGAGUGAAAUCCUGUAAUCCUUGGGGGACCACCUGUGGCGAAGGCGUCUCACCAGAACGGCUCCGACAGUGAGGGACGAAAGCUGGGGGAGCAAACCGGAUUAGAUACCCGGGUAGUCCCAGCCGUAAACGAUGCGCGUUAGGUGUAUCGGUGACCACGAGUCACCGAGGUGCCGAAGAGAAAUCGUGAAACGUGCCGCCUGGGAAGUACGGUCGCAAGGCUGAAACUUAAAGGAAUUGGCGGGGGAGCACCACAACAGGUGG